UAUGCAGUUUUGUGUGUUGUUUGGUCAGGUUUCAGGUCUGGUUGUCAUGGUAAAAGACCAGGAGUACAAUAUCCAAUGUCAAGGUUGCAGUUCAACUGCAAAGGUUAAAGAAAACAUAUGAAUCCUUAAACCUUUGACUAUAGAAACUCUUUCUUCAGUUUGGAUGGAUUUGCAAAUUACUUGGCACAAGUAGCAAAGUGAAAUGUACUGGUCAUUAAUCAAAGGUCUACCAUUUAAAAAAUCAAUUGUUAUCUUAUAGCAAUCAUCGUAUCUUUGUUAAGUGUCGAUAUUGUUUUGGCAGAAGUAAUAAGAAUUAUUGAGACAGCUUAUUGCAUAUACGAAUCUGGUCAAAAGUUCAAAGGUGAAUGUCAUAUGUAAUGGUGUUAAGCUAUUGAUCGGGAUGAUCAUGGCGAGGUAUUUUAUGGAAGUACCAGGUCCUCUUUAGCAAGAUAUGACAAUGUCACAAGUCUUGGUCAAAGCUCAAAUAUAAAAAAAUGAAUUAUUGUAGACUUCAUCUGAUCUUAACCCCCAAAAUACUUAUAGAGGGGCAAAUAUUUGUGAUGCUGGCUCUUUGUUAAAAUUCUCUUAUUGAAUUAUGUAAAAUGAUAUUUUAGUUUGUUUAUUUGUUCUGUAAACCGGUGUCUAAGAUAAAAAUAUAUCUGAAAUACUCAUUGUGAAGGUAUUGAAUCUAAACUAUAUAACCUCAAUACUGGAGCACAUUUAGGAUUGAUAGCCAUGUUGAUGGCUGUAGCUUGAUAGGGAUGUUGAUGGAUGUGGUUUGAUAGGGAUGUUGAUGGGUGUAGUUUGAUAGGGAUGUUGAUGGGUGUAGUUUGAUAGGGAUGUUGAUGGGUGUAGUUUGAUAGUGAUGUUGAUGGGUGUAGUUUGAUAGGGAUGUUGAUGGGUGUGGUUUGAUAGGGAUGUUGAUGGUUGUAGUUUGAUAGGGAUGUUGAUGGGUGUAGUUUGAUAGGGAUGUUGAUGGGUGUAGUUUGAUAGGGAUGUUGAUGGGUGUAGUUUGAUAGGGAUGUUGAUUGGUGUGGUUUGGUAGGGAUGUUGAUUGGUGUGGUUUGAUAGGGAUGUUGAUGGAUGUGGUUUGAUAGGUAUGUUGAUGGGUAUGGUUUGAUAGGCAUGUUGAUGGCUGUAGUUUGACAGGGAUGUUGAUGCGUAUGGUUCGAUAGGGAUGUUGAUUGGUGUGGUUUGAUAGGGAUGUUGAUGGAUGCUGUUUGAUAGGGAUGUUGAUUGGUUUGGUUUGAUAGGGAUGUUGAUGGAUGUGGUUUGAUAGGGAUGUUGAUUGGUGUGGUUUGUUAGGGAUGUUGAUUGGUGUGGUUUGAUAGGGAUGUUGAUGGAUGCGGUUUGAUGGGGAUGUUGAUGGGUGUGGUUUGAUAGGGAUGUUGAUGGAUGUGGUUUGAUAGGGAUGUUGAUGGAUGAGGUUUGAUAGGCAUGUUGAUGGGUGUGGUUUGAUAGGGAUGUUUAUGGGUGUGGUUUGAUGGGGAUUUUGAUGGAUGUGGUUUGAUAGGGAUGUUGAUGGCUGUAGUUUGAUAGUUUGAUAUGGAUGUUGAUGGAUGUGGUUUGAUAGGGAUGUUGAUGUGUGUGGUUUGAUAGGGAUGUUGAUGGGUGUUGUUUGAUAGGGAUGUUGAUGGGUGUUGUUUGAUAUGGAUGUUUAUGGUUGUGGUUUGAUAGGGAUGUUUAUGGUUGUGGUUUGAUAGGGAUGUUGAUGGUUGUGGUUUGAUAGUGAUGUUGAUAGGUGUGGUAUGAUAGGGAUGUUGGUGGAUGUGGUUUGAUAGGGAUGUUGAUGGAUGUGGUUUGAUAGGUAUGUUGAUGGUUGUGGUUUGAUAGGGUUGUUGAUGGCUGUAGUUUGAUAGGGAUGUUGAUGGAUGCGGUUUGAUACGAAUGUUGAUGGAUGAGGUUUGAUAGGCAUGUUGAUGGGUGUGGUUUGAUAUGGAUGUUGAUGGCUGUAGUUUGAUAGGGAUGUUGAUGGAUGUGGUUUGAUAGGGAUGUUGAUGGAUGUGGUUUGAUAGGGAUGUUGAUGGGUGUGGUUUGAUAGGGAUGUUGAUGGAUGUGGUUUGAUAGGGAUGUUUGUGGAUGUGGUUUGAUAGGCAUGUUGAUGGGUGUGGUUUGAUAUGGAUGUUUAUGGUUGUGGUUUGAUAGGGAUGUUGAUGGGUGUAGUUUGAUAGGGAUGUUGAUGGGUGUGGUUUGAUAGGGAUGUUUAUGGGUGUUUUUGUUAUAGAAAUGUUGAUGGGUGUGGUUUUAUAGGGAUGUUUAUGGGUGUGGUUUGAUAUGGAUGUUUAUGGUUGUGGUUUGAUAUGGAUAUUGAUGGGUGUGAUUUGAUAGGGAUGUUUAUGGGUGUUUUUAUGCCCCCCUUAGAAGAAGAGGGGUAUAUUGUUUUGCACAUGUCGGUCUGUCGGUCCGUUGGUCGGUCCGUCCACCAGGUGGUUUCCGGAUGAUAACUCAAGAACGCUUAGGCCUAGGAUCAUGAAACUUCAUAGGUACAUUGAUCAUGACUCGCAGAUGACCCCGAUUGAUUUUGAGGUCACUAGGUCAAAGGUCAAGGUCACUGUGACCCGAAAUAGUAAAAUGGUUUGCCGGAUGAUAAUUCAAGAACGCUUAUGCCUAGGAUCAUGAAACUUGAUAGGUAGAUUGAUCAUCACUAGCAGAUGACCCCUAUUGAUUUACAGGUCACUAGGUCCAAGUUCAAGGUCACGGUGACCCGAAAUAGUAAAAUGGUUUCCGGAUGAUAUUUCAAGAACGCUUAUGCCUAGGAUCAUGAAACUUGAUAGGUAGAUUGAUCAUGACUAGCAGAUGACCCCUAUUGAUUUUCAGGUCACUAGGUCAAAGGUCAAGGUGACCCGAAAUAGUAAAAUGGUUUCCGGAUGAUAACUCAAGAACGCUUGUGCCUAGGAUCAUGAAACUUGAUAGGUACAUUGAUUAUGACUCGCAGAUGACCCCUAUUGAUUUUGAGGUCACUAGAUCAAAGGUCAAGAUCACGGUGACCCGAAAUAGUAAAAUGGUUUGCCGGAUGAUAAUUCAAGAACGCUUAUGCCUAGGAUCAUGAAACUUGAUAGGUAGAUUGAUCAUGACUAGCAGAUGACCCCUAUUGAUUUACAGGUCACUAGGUCCAAGUUCAAGGUCACGGUGACCCGAAAUAGUAAAAUGGUUUCCGGAUGAUAUUUCAAGAACGCUUAUGCCUAGGAUCAUGAAACUUGAUAGGUAGAUUGAUCAUGACUAGCAGAUGACCCCUAUUGAUUUUCAGGUCACUAGGUCAAAGGUCAAGGUGACCCGAAAUAGUAAAAUGGUUUCAG